rnacentral:rRNA from 1 species
GGAAUAUUGCGCAAUGGGCGAAAGCCUGACGCAGCAACGCCGCGUGAGUGAUGAAGGCCUUCGGGUUGUAAAGCUCUUUCGGUUGGGAAGAAGGGUGUGCGUACUAAUAAUGCGUACAUUUGAUGGUACCAAAAGAAGAAGCACCGGCUAACUUCGUGCCAGCAGCCGCGGUAAUACGAAGGGUGCGAGCGUUGUUCGGAAUGACUGGGCGUAAAGGGUUCGUAGGCGGGAGAGCAAGUUAAGUGUGAAAUCCCCGGGCUUAACCCGGGACGUGCACUUAAAACUGCUUUUCUUGAGUCGAGGAGAGGGUGAUGGAAUUGCUGGUGUAGGAGUGACAUCCGUAGAGAUCAGCAGGAACACCGGAGGCGAAGGCGAUCACCUGGCCGAAGACUGACGCUGAGGAACGAAAGCGUGGGGAGCAAACAGGAUUAGAUACCCUGGUAGUCCACGCCGUAAACGAUGAUAACUAGAUGUUGCGGGAAUUGACCCCUGCAGUAUCGCAGCUCACGCAUUAAGUUAUCCGCCUGGGGAGUACGGCCGCAAGGCUAAAACUCAAAUGAAUUGACGG